rnacentral:rRNA from 1 species
GGACGAACGCUGGCGGCGUGCCUAACACAUGCAAGUCGAACGAUCCCCUCCGGGGGAUAGUGGCGGACGGGUGAGUAACGCGUGAACAAUCUGCCCUGUACAGCGGAAUAGCCUCGGGAAACCGGGAUUAAAACCGCAUAACACUUCAGUAUCGCAUGAUACAAAAGUCAAAUUGAUUAAGAGGUAUAGGAUGAGUUCGCAUCUGAUUAGCUAGUUGGUGAGGUAAAGGCCCACCAAGGCGACGAUCAGUAGCCGGCCUGAGAGGGUGAACGGCCACACUGGAACUGAGACACGGUCCAGACUCCUACGGGAGGCAGCAGUGGGGAAUAUUGCACAAUGGAGGGAACUCUGAUGCAGCGACGCCGCGUGAGUGAAGAAGGUCUUCGGAUCGUAAAACUCUGUCCUUGGUGAAGAUAAUGACGGUAACCAAGGAGGAAGCCCCGGCUAACUACGUGCCAGCAGCCGCGGUAAUACGUAGGGGGCUAGCGUUGUCCGGAUUUACUGGGCGUAAAGGGUGAGUAGGCGGUUAUGUAUGUCAGAUGUAAAAGGCGCGGGCUUAACUUGCGUUAGCAUUUGAAACUGCAUAACUUGAGUGCAGGAGAGGUAAGCGGAAUUCCUAGUGUAGCGGUGAAAUGCGUAGAUAUUAGGAGGAACACCGGUGGCGAAGGCGGCUUACUGGACUGUAACUGACGCUGAGUCACGAAAGCGUGGGUAGCAAACAGGAUUAGAUACCCUGGUAGUCCACGCUGUAAACGAUGAGUGCUAGGUGUUGGGUAGCGAUACUCAGUGCCGGAGUAAACACAAUAAGCACUCCGCCUGGGGAGUACGGUCGCAAGACUGAAACUCAAAGGAAUUGACGGGGACCCGCACAAGCAGCGGAGCAUGUGGUUUAAUUCGAAGCAACGCGAAGAACCUUACCAAGGCUUGACAUCCCCUUGACAGAUGCAGAGAUGUGUCCUCUCCUUCGGGAGCAAGGGAGACAGGUGGUGCAUGGUUGUCGUCAGCUCGUGUCGUGAGAUGUUGGGUUAAGUCCCGCAACGAGCGCAACCCUUAUCCUCAGUUGCCAGCAAUAAGAUGGGCACUCUAAGGAGACUGCCGGUGAUAAACCGGAGGAAGGUGGGGAUGACGUCAAAUCAUCAUGCCCCUUAUGUCUUGGGCUACACACGUGCUACAAUGGUCGGUACAACGGGCAGCGAAGGAGCGAUCCCAAGCAAAUCCCAAUAAACCGAUCCCAGUUCGGAUUGCAGGCUGCAACUCGCCUGCAUGAAGUCGGAGUUGCUAGUAAUCGCGAAUCAGAACGUCGCGGUGAAUGCGUUCCCGGGUCU